GAGUUUGAUCAUGGCUCAGGAUGGACGCUGGCGGCGUGCCUAAUACAUGCAAGUCGAGCGAACGGACGAGAAGCUUGCUUCUCUGAUGUUAGCGGCGGACGGGUGAGUAACACGUGGAUAACCUACCUAUAAGACUGGGAUAACUUCGGGAAACCGGAGCUAAUACCGGAUAACAUUUUGAACCGCAUGGUUCAAAAGUGAAAGACGGUCUUGCUGUCACUUAUAGAUGGAUCCGCGCUGCAUUAGCUAGUUGGUAAGGUAACGGCUUACCAAGGCAACGAUGCAUAGCCGACCUGAGAGGGUGAUCGGCCACACUGGAACUGAGACACGGUCCAGACUCCUACGGGAGGCAGCAGUAGGGAAUCUUCCGCAAUGGGCGAAAGCCUGACGGAGCAACGCCGCGUGAGUGAUGAAGGUCUUCGGAUCGUAAAACUCUGUUAUUAGGGAGAACAUAUGUGUAAGUAACUGUGCACAUUUCUGUACGGUACCUAAUCAGAAGGCCACGGCUAACUACG
rnacentral:rRNA from 1 species